rnacentral:rRNA from 1 species
GCACGGAGUUAGCCGAUCCUUAUUCUUACCGUACAUUCAACCCGCUACACGUAGCGGAAAUUAUUCCGGUAUAAAAGCAGUUUACAAUGCAGAGCACCGUCUUCCUGCACGCGGCAUGGCUGGUUCAGAGUUGCCUCCAUUGACCAAUAUUCCUUA